AUGAGUCCGUGGCGAACCGUUCGGGACAUCACUAUUUGACACAAGCGGCGUUUUUACUAAACUGCUGGGAAUUCAAAGUGAAGUACAAAUGUAGUCAGCUGUGUUUUCAUUCAGCUAUUUAACCCCUUAAGGACCAAACUUCUGGAAUAAAAGGGAAUCAUGACAUGUCACACAUGUCAUGUGUCCUUAAGGGGUUAAGCUGUGUAUUAUACUUUGUAUUAUGUUUUAAUUCCAAACCCAUUAUCCCUUUAGUGAAUAUUCUUGGUAAAGUGGUUGUCUGAUAUAUCAUCUUGGCCAAUCACUACAAGAUUUUAUUAGAAGUACUAAUAACAGACUUUAUACUUUUAUUUUAAUUUUGCCUACUA